GGCCCAGCGGAUCGAAGAUGACGACGAUCUGAGCUUUCUUCUUCCAUGGAGUUUCGAUUCCCUCGCAUUUGGCUCCCUCUUGUUGUGUAAUAAGCUCUCCUCCUCUUCGAUUUUGGGGAAAGAGAGAGGAAAAAAAAACGUUCGAUGUUAUUUUUUUUUGUCGCGGAUUUGGGCGUGGGUUUCUCCAGAUUAUCCACGAUGUGAAAGAUUCUCCCAUUCAAUGAGCGAUUCUAGGAUGUGGGUCUGAGG